GCCCGGGUGGUGGAAUUGGUAGACACACGGGAUUUAAAAUCCCGCGUCUUAACGGACGUGCCGGUUCAAGUCCGGCCCCGGGUACCA
rnacentral:tRNA from 1 species